rnacentral:rRNA from 1 species
GACGAACGCUGGCGGCGUGCUUAACACAUGCAAGUCGAACGGAAAGGCCCUGCUUUUGUGGGGUGCUCGAGUGGCGAACGGGUGAGUAACACGUGAGUAACCUGCCCUUGACUUUGGGAUAACUUCAGGAAACUGGGGCUAAUACCGGAUAGGAGCUCCUGCUGCAUGGUGGGGGUUGGAAAGUUUCGGCGGUUGGGGAUGGACUCGCGGCUUAUCAGCUUGUUGGUGGGGUAGUGGCUUACCAAGGCUUUGACGGGUAGCCGGCCUGGGAGGGUGACCGGCGACAUUGGGACUGAGAGACGGCCCAGACUGCUACGGGGGGCAGCAGUGGGGAAUAUUGCACAAUGGGCGGAAGCCGGAUGCAGCAACGCCGCGUGCGGGAUGACGGCCUUCGGGUUGUAAACCGCUUUCGCCUGUGACGAAGCGUGAGUGACGGUAAUGGGUAAAGAAGCACCGGCUAACUACGUG